CCUACGGGGGGCAGCAGUGGGGAAUAUUGGACAAUGGGGGCAACCCUGAACCAGCCAUGCCGCGUGUGUGAAGAAGGCCCUCGGGUUGUAAAGCACUUUCAGUGAGGAAGAACGCCUGGUGGUUAAUACCCAUCAGGAAAGACAUCACUCACAGAAGAAGCACCGGCUAACUCCGUGCCAGCAGCCGCGGUAAUACGGAGGGUGCGAGCGUUAAUCGGAAUUACUGGGCGUAAAGCGCGCGUAGGUGGCUUGAUAAGCCGGUUGUGAAAGCCCCGGGCUCAACCUGGGAACGGCAUCCGGAACUGUCAAGCUAGAGUGCAGGAGAGGAAGGUAGAAUUCCCGGUGUAGCGGUGAAAUGCGUAGAGAUCGGGAGGAAUACCAGUGGCGAAGGCGGCCUUCUGGACUGACACUGACACUGAGGUGCGAAAGCGUGGGUAGCAAACAGGAUUAGAUACCCUAGUAGUC
rnacentral:rRNA from 1 species